AGCAGCCGCGGUAAUUCCAGCUCCAAUAGCGUAUAUUAAAGUUGUUGCAGUUAAAAAGCUCGUAGUUGAAUUUCGGGAUCAAAGGAUCGGUCAUGCCUUGGUAUGUACUGGUUUUAUUGGUUCUCACCUUCUAAAGAACCAUAAUGUCAUUCAUUUGAUGUUAUGGGGAAUUAGGACUGUUACCUUGAAAAAAUUAGAGUGUUUAAAGCAGGCUUACGCUUGAAUACAUUAGCAUGGAAUAAUGAAAUAGGACGUUUGAUCCUAUUUUGUUGGCUUCUAGGAUUGACGUAAUGAUUAAUAGGGAUAGUUGGGGGCAUUAGUAUUCAAUUGUCAGAGGUGAAAUUCUUGGAUUAUUGAAGACUAACUACUGCGAAAGCAUUUGCCAAGGAUGUUUUCAUUAAUCAAAGAACGAAAGUUAGGGGAUCGAAGACGAUCAGAUACCGUCGUAGUCUUAACCAUAAACUAUGCCGACUAGGGAUCGGAUGAUGUUAAUUUUUUAAUGACUCAUUCGGCGCCUUAC
rnacentral:misc_RNA from 1 species